rnacentral:lncRNA from 1 species
GCCUAUGUUCUUCUCAAACCCAACUUUUUAGCUCUCAGGCUCUACCACCCUUACUGCACAUCAAGCCUGUGUCCACCCACAAGCUGGAGGUGGGGAAAAAAAACCAAGCCAGGAUUUCCCGUUUGUGCUUGCUCUGUUUGGCCAAAGGUGACUCUAACUUAGUGGACUGAGGUCAACCUCCCCCUCCCCCAAAUCAAUAAUUUAAUGUGACUUAUCAGAAAGAGAAAGAAUUGUUUACUUUAAAACCCUGGAGCCCAUAAAGGGAGAGGGGGAAAGGCUCGGGGGAACAGAUGCUCCAGAGGGCCCUGUUUCUGCCUUUGAGCUGCAGAAAGGUAACAAGGAGAAGGCUCCUGAGAGGGGGUGCAGCUAGCACUAAGAGAGAUACAGGGUACACCAAGGCCAGGUCACCAUUCAGAUGAGAACUUGGGACAGACACUGCAAAGGAGAAGCUUCCCACCAUGCAGUCACUCUUGGAGGUGGAUUCUUAACGAGUGAUGACUGCCACCCAGCUGGAAGAGUGGAGAGGUCUACACCUCCACUAUGGCCUCAGACAAUGAAAGGUGGCCAAAAAUCUCCACUCAGUACAUUGAUCUUCAAGUAACCACUAACACUCUUACCUAACAAGCAGUUCACCCUCUUUCAGCUUCUUUUUCACUCUUUCCGGGUUCAACUACAUUUACUGUAAAUCCUGAGAAGAGGUAUAAGAAGAACCACAGCGAAGAAAUUGUACUAAGUGGUAUAGUGUCAUUCAGCACCAACAAAUACUUGUUAACCAUCUCCUGUGUGCAAAGAUACCAUGCUGUUCCCUAGGGAUACAAAAAUGAAAAAUCCCACUGUCCCUGCCUUCAAAGUGCUUUCAUUUCAUAUACUAAAAUGUGUGAGGGACUUUGUUCCAGGUCCCCACAUACUUGCAAGCAAAUGAGAAAAAAGAAAUCAAAUACGUGAAAAAGAUAUAAAAGCACAUAUAAAACCCCAGUCAUAACAAAUUAGGCACUUAUGUGUUUGUUAAAUGUGUUGAAUGCAACUGAACUAUAUGAAAGGUACAUGAGCCAUCAUAGUUAUGCUUGCAUCCAUCCAUGUGAAUUCUGAGAUGUUGCUAUGGUAACAGGAGAAAGGUUAGAACUCAGUCUGGGCAAGUUUUAAGGAAGCUCAGAACUGGGUACCACUAAUAAGGCUCCAGAAAUUUCUGAGGGUAAGACUAAGAAAUAGUGAGUGUAAAGGCUGUAUUGUAGCUCACUGAAGCUGGGGCCCAACAGCCAUCUUGAUGUUUAGACUUUCAGUAGUUGCAGGCCUAUUGAUAGAAAACCACUUGGCUUACUGGAGAGGAUUUCUUCAACUAAUUCAUGCUGGACUACCAAUGGCUGAUUAUAGACUGUAUGUUUGCUCCUUCCCAAGAAUAUUUGGAGCUUAACAAAGAGACAAAAAGAAUCGAGUGGUAGAAUAAUUUCAGUUACUAAUCUCUAGCCUGUGAAAACACAUUUGAGGUAAGAAAGGGGCUAGGAAGGGCUUUUCUAGCACCGCUCAAAUCACACUACAGAGGCAGCUGCCUAUUUGGCCAAUAGCUAUAAGCCAUCUUUGUCCCUACAUACACUGUGGACCAA